AAACUCUGCCAGUGCUGGAAGUGAGCUGGCACGAGGAGUGACGGAAGAGGACUCGGUCUGUGCGUCCAUCGUUAUCUUUUCACUGCACGUCAGCUCCGAGAUAACACCAGGAAAUAAUCUCCCAGCCCAGGAAUGAAAGAACUCCAAUGGUGGGCAGCUCUGCAAUGGGCCACCCGCAGAUGUCAGUCAAAUAACACUGAAAAUAGAGAGGGUCAGACACAAGGAGCAGAUCCUGGGGCUGAGAAGCAGCCGGGCACGGCCACUCAAGCCCACAGUGUACAAAAAGCAAAACUGGAGCCUGAAACGAGAUCCAGGCUCCAGCGAAAUGGACUAUUUCCAAGUAUUUGAAAAGCUUCAGACAGCUGUGGGAAGGAAGAAAACUCUCACAGGCUGUGACAAGGCAGAGCAAGAGAGGCACGAAAACAAGUUCCCCCAUGAAACAGAAAAGGCAUUGAGGCUCUGGCAGCCCACAGGGGACGGAUGGUGCCGGCUGGGCAGGCGCUCGCUGCUCAGCAAUGUUUGAGGAAAAUCCUCCUUCAAGGUACCUGACAGGGCCAAGCCACCCAGAAGACCCCCAAGAAACGAACACAGCCACAGGAGGUGUUUUGGAGGCUCAGGAAAACACAGGACCCAUCCCUGGGGACACCAGCGACAGCCAUCCUCCUGCCAGCGAGCCACCAGCAAGCCCCAGCUCCCCACAGCAGCGCCUGGCCUGCCUGAGGAUGCUGAUGUCCAGGCAGAAGGCAGAAUAUGAAUCCAGAGUUGCAAGCCUGGAGCAGCGGAACAGAGAGCUGCAGUCGGAGAUUAAGGACAUGCAUUGGAAACUGGGACAGCAGCGCAAGCAGCACAGCCUUGUGGAGAUGAAAAUGCGAAAUGCAGAGAGAGCAAAGGAAGAUGCAGAGAGAAGAAACGAAAUGCUUCAAAGAGAAAUGGAAGAGUUUUUUGAAACCUUUGGAGAAAUUAACAAAUGGAAAUAAAUCGGUUUGAACUUGAGCUCUCUCUGUAGGAGAGAGAAAAGCCAUAUUCUGAUCUCAGAAAUUAAGAAUCUCAGCAGUAAAAACUGGGCUGUCAAUUACAAAGCAAGCAGUGAUACAAACUCAUCCUUAACUCCAGGAACUCUCUGCAGUGCCCUGCUAACACCAAGGAUGCUCUCUUUUACCCCUGGAAAAAUCUUUCAGACAUGCUUUGCACUACCCAUUCCCAAACCAGCCUACAGCAGCACAAUGGGAAAGCUCCCUGGUAUUUUCAGGCUCACUCGUACUAAUGCACCAAGUGGCUGACUUUUUAAUUUCAGGAUAUUGUGCUUGUUGGGAGUGUUUUACUAGCCAGCCUAGAAGUCACAUAGGUAUUAAAUGGGCUUCAGGGGCGUUUAUACCUGCAUCCUUAAGUCAGAUGAUUUCUUUGGAGACAAACACAGAGAAAUAAUAAGACCAAACAUCUCCUUAUAGACCAUGCCAGCACUGCCAUGUGGCCCUGUGGCUGGAAUCUGGAGCUUCAGGGUAAGUCCUGUCCUCUCCCUAAAGGUAUUUCCUUUCAUGGAGGAAGAGGUAUCUCGGAUAGCCAAGAGUCUCCCUGCCAGACUCCCAUAAGUAUGCCUGUCUUAAGAAUGUUACUAGUAGACUCCUUCACUCAUCUUUGCAGAGCUACCUCUAUACACACCAUAAACACAUUAACUAUUUUAAUACUAGAGUUUUAAUACUGUUGUUUUUGUUGUUUUAAUACUGUAGUUUUAGUAACUAUUUUAAUACUUCCCCAGUUACAUCAGACAGCUUUACAAAGUGACUAAGAAACCUUAUCAGUGUCUUCACAAGAAUACUUACCUCUUCAAGAAAAUACAAUGAAAUGAUUUAUUGUUUUCAAAUUUAGCUGUACAUCUGCAUUAUUCAGUCAGGACAAGAUGAAACAACAUUGUUAGAGAAUUAGGUGAAAAGCAAAUUAUUUCAAAGUCCAUAUAUAUAUACAAAUAAACACACCCCAUACGGCCAGUAGCUUAUCUGCAUCUUACAAGAAAGUCUGAAAAAACAAUUAUGAUACUGGUUAAACACAAGGAUGUGAAUACAAAUCUGUCAGUAUCACCCAGAAAGCUUCUGCAAUUUUGAAGAACAAAUUCCAAAAUACACUUCUUACUUGGCAGUAAAACCAAGUGCUGUUAACAUGUCCAAAUGUUCCAGGUGAUCAGGAGAAAGCAGCUCCAGAAAGUGUUUUAAGCUGAUAUUAAUUUACUUUUCAUACUCAUACUUACUUUUUGGUUAACCAAAAACUGAAGUGUAAUGAAACAUUAUGUUUUAUAAAACUAAGAACAUAUUCUUUCAAUUAGAUAAAACAUUCCACUUCAACACAAGAAGAAGCAAGAAACAACACAUAGCUAUAGUAAAUAAAACAAACUACUCAAAUUGUUUAAGUAUACAUAUUUAUUUGUAAUUUUACAGUGGCUUUAGUAUUGUUUUAUGAUACGUUUUUUGGAGAAAAAGCAUCAGAACAAGGCUUUAACUAGCACUUCAGAACUAGUUAUUGACAGCUUUCCUUAUGAAAUUCUAGUUUCCUUAAAAAAAAUCAAUCCAAAAAAAUAAGGAAGCGUGACUGCUGUCCAUGAAACAAAAAAUACUGUCUAGUCAUCCUGAAAACAAAGUCCAGCAUCAGACAAAAUAGCCACUGCAUUGAAGGGAACAUGUUCCUAUUGCACAAGCAUAAAGAAUGAGAUAUGACAAUCAAAGCCUAAUUUCAUACGCAGAAGAGGCCACAUGUAUCUAUAUAAUUAGACUUCAAAGCACAUCUUUCUUCUGAAAUUAUAUACCAUAUCUAAUAUUAAGGCCAUAAAAUCAGAACAUUAUAACAAGUGAUAGGGCUUGAUGCUACUUUUUGUGACAUUUGGUAAACAGAAGGUGGAAAAGAGGGCCAAAACAAGACAAACAAAGCAUUUCAAAGGGAGAUAAAGGCAUUUCAAAAAAGUUCUUGAACUGAAGUUGGGUGGGAGGGUGGUUAUUUUAAGUAAUCGGGAAAAAUUGGAUUUAAAUACAAAUAACUCAAGGAGCCCAUUAUACUCUUUAAUAGCAUGUGUUCUGGAGCAAACUACAUAAUAUAUUCUCUGGAUUUAACAUUUGCAUUUGUACAAAACAGUUCAUUAAUUCCAUUUGAUAUUCUCUCUUUAAAAUAGAUGAAAAUUCUUAUAAUCUUUAUAAGUUAUCUUAAUGACCAGAUAAGGCUUCGCUGUACUGGGUUAACUAAACACAAGUAUCUCUGAUUUGCCCUUACUUAGGUAUCCUAAUUAAACUAAACUAAAACCACCUGUGGGACCCAGCAUGUCAUGCAAUUUAAAGAAAGGGAUUGUAGUUAUGCAUUGCUAACUCUCUAAUCAUGUUCAUUUUAUUAGUGUAUAAAACACUUGAAAGCAAUAGCUCCAAAGAAGCAUAACUGGAAUUUUACACACUUUACUUUUGGAAAAAUUGGGAAUCUGACGAACCUAAAAAUGUAUAUUAGUCAUUUUAUAAAGUUUGGUUUGCCACAAUUUAAGAAAAUAUAGGUAUCAAAAACAGACAAAUACAUUGCUAACCAUCUGUUACAUUUUCUUUUAAAAAAUUAGCACCAAUUUAAGCAUCUGAAUUCAUAGAAAAGCUAGUGACACACAUGGUUUUUCAAAAAAGUUUUUUCCCAGUAGAAGACAAUACAAUAGCACAUGUUCAUGGAUAUUAAACUAGCUUUGCUAUCGUUAACAAAUAUGACUACUGUUUCAGGUAGUGGACAUAAAAUGUGGUUCUUACGUGACUGCUUUCUUCUCUGCUUUCAUUAUCCUAAGAAACCAUGGAGUGCUGAACUCCAGCCUGGAAAACGAGCUCAUGUAUGCCAUAGGAGGCAUCAAGCUUUUAGACCAGUAUUUUAGAGACACUGUCUUCCUAUGUAUCCUCAUAGUAUCUGUAACAGUGGAGUCCCCAUGUAAACAGAUGUUCUGGCCUCACCACAGCACAUACAUCUAGCUUAGGAUGAAUAGCCUAAUGUUAAUAAAAGCUAGCUGAUCUUGCUACAUGACAGACUUUUGCAUUUCUUUAUAUCAUAGAUGCCUAGGUAGUCACUUUGCUAUUCAAGUCACCCUACAGGUAUUUAAGUAGGGGAUGCUUCUCAAAUCAUCUCGUACUAUGUGUUAAAUUUCAGCCCUAAAAAAAUCUCAAAGUUCACAUCUCUCAAAAAAGGUUUAUAUUUAAAGGAAAAUGCUGUUCAAAUCUAUCAGAUCAAAAGACUGAAACCAAAUUUGAAUACAUCUGAUUUUUUGUCAUUCCUUUUAACACUAUAUACUGGUUGUAUUCAGAAGAAUCCUAAAGUGCUUCAAACCCAGCAAUUAAUAAAGUUGAUUUCUGUUGUGCAAAACUGCAAGCACCUUUUCAAAAAAUAAGCAGCAACAUCAAGGAAUAAGAACUGAAAUAUUUAAAUGUAUUUUCUUUUUUUAAUUCUUGGACCAAAAUAAUUUGUCGUAUUUUCAGUAACAAAUUGCAGAAGACUAUUUUAUUAUUUUAAUUUUAUACUGGACUUCUUAUACAUAUAUUUCUUUGAAAUAGCGGACCCAGGUAAAUUUAUAUCAACAAAGCAAGUCUACAAGAUUGAAAUCCAACAAAUAAAAUUUUAGCUACAAAAAUAGUCAUUUAAUAAAACACAAACAGAAGUGAUGAUCUUCUCUUCACCUUCCUCCAACACUAAUAUGAGAAAAGAUGGCUUACUUAAAACAUUAGUUUAGCUCCAGACGUUUUAGCAUGCAGUGGGCAAAAAAUAAAACUGAUUUGAUAAGUUGUGUAAUAAGCUUUUAGAACAUCACUAAUUACUCACGUAAUAGACAAUCUAAGAUAUAUGGAAAAUAAUGAGGCAGAAUACAUUUUUUGUCAUACUUCAUGUUGAAAAAAAUCAAAGACACUGUGGAAAAGCAAAGAAGUUACUAGAUUCAUUUAUAGGAACUUAAGUCCAAAUUCUGCAUCUGGGUGCAGGUGUCCCUGGAUCAAAAACAGUUUUGAGCAGGAAUUACACAAUACACAUCCCAGGAAAGAAUUUGGUUCCCAGUAUACAGUAUCACUAAGUUUAGCAUCAAGCCCUGAUAGAAUCCAUAUGACAUAUGUAGAAUAUACAGACAAAGGCUGGUCAGCAUUUACCCCUCACCAAACUAAGUACUUCCAUUUCAAGACUCACAAUUCAAAUGAAACGCUCUACACAAACUGUAUUGCUGCAAGACUGAACCUGUAUUCAAAAACAGCAUUAUGCUCAGUAAAGAUUUGUCUGCACUUCAGCAACUGAACUUCCAGCGCACACCAAACGGGAGGAUUGCACUUCUGCCAAAAAAGGCUCGUUUACCCAGUUCUUGGAGGCUCAGUGUGUCAGUUUUUUGAAUGUCUGAAUCCUAUUUCAUUUGUAAAAUUAUAAUUUUAAGCCAAAUACAAGCUAAAAAGGAAACCAAUUCAGCAUUAUGAUUUAGAAAUUGAGGUCUUUCCUUCAGGAAAGAAAAAUAAAACAUAUGGAAUUACUUCCCCCAACACACACUUAGUUUUGAAUAAACGUAUGUGCACUCUGUUAGGACUCCAAAAGACAAAAAAAUAAUAGUCCUUUAGUCCCUAACAGUCUUAACAACCAACCAGUUAAUUCUCAGUUAAGGUUCAGUUUAAUUUUCAUUAUUUUGACAAGGAAAUGCAAACCCUUACCAGAAACAAGAUAAAGCUUCACAGGCUGUUUGCAAACACUAGUUUCCAGUCAGACUCGUUUGUUUAGUAAAAUCUGUGCAGACAAAACCUUGAUUUUGCCAUUCGUUACUCAUGUUUUUGUCAUUUUCCAUUACAUAAAAUGAAGCUUGUCAUAUCACACUGUUUCCUCAAAGCACACUUACAGGCUGCUUAUCCAGAUUUCAAAAAGCCAGGUUUCUUUAAGGGUGGUGUUUUUUUUGUUUGGUUGUUGUUUUUUUGUGUUUUUGUUUUUUCCCCGAUUGGAUUUUUUUUUUUUUUUGAGGAAAAACGAUAUGAGCACAGAACAUUUUAAAACAUACUCCAUUUCUGCAAUGCCAUUCAGCUACUCAGUGUUCAUAUAUCUAACAAUGUUUCUGGUAAAUAAUCUGAUUGAUAGCCAUAAAUCCCUCUUUUUUGUUGUUUUUCAGGUGAGCAGUUAAGAUUACAGAUUGCAUCUAUGUUGACUGCCACUUCUUAUUAGUCAUAUUUUAUAAAUUGUUUAUGCAUACUGCAGUAGUGUUAACACAAAGUCUCUCAUACAGAAAAGUAACAUUCAUGUUUACAAAACUGAGCAGGUUUCUAAUAUAUAUGUAUACACACUCACAUAUUCUUAGUCUUUAAAUACAUAUAAAUAUUUAUAAAAGCCAAAGUGCAAAAAAAUGGUCAAUUGUAUCACUUUACAUACAUGAUUUUAGUAUUAGGAAUAAAAGUGAUUAUAUUGCACACCAAACUUUCUCAACUUUUAAACCCCUGUCAAGAUACAUGUGCAUUUUACUUUCCAUCAAUGAUGAGGUUCUCACAGCAUCGACAACCAUUUCACAGAUGUGGCACUGAACUUAAUCUGUAGUCAGGAAUACAACUAAUAUGUAUAAAGUCUGCAUGCAGUGCGUUUAUAGUCUGUAUGUGCACACUGAAACAGCAUGGGAGCUUUAGCAUGCAUCUAUCCUGCAUGCGUUUUGCUGAAUAUAAUCUGUUUAUCUGCCUUCUCUAAGAACUGGACAUUUAUUCAGGUUAUUAGCAGUUUGCUUUUAAGUUAUGCGAGAAUCAAAAUCCACAAUAUUCACACCUUUCAUUUCAUGCAUGUUUUGAAGGCAGUAACAUUUUGGUAAAAUUUAGAAGCUUCAAAGUAUGGCAUAGCAAGAAGCCAUUAAAAACAUACAGUAUGAAAUGGCUUUUCCUACAAACAAUAGGAUUUACAAGGAAGCUCAAUCUCAGGGCUUAUUUUGUUCAAAGAUUACAUAUUUGAUGUAACAGUAUAUACUAGAAGGUCAGAUACCAGUUCAAAUCCUGGGGAUAGGGCAGUUCUGUGUUAAAAAAAAACAAACAAACACACACACAACAUUAAAAGACGAUUUGAAUCACAGAGUAAUUUGGGUUGGGAGAGACCUGGAGGCCAUCUGGUCCAACCAGCCCAGCGCUGAGCAGCCCAAGUCCGAUAUGAAAAACUCAACUUUGAGCAUAUCCAAAAGACAUGAAAAGUAUUUGUUGCAUUAAAUCUUCUGAAGCAAUAAAUGUUAAAAUGAUGAAUGUAAAGUACAGUGCAACUUCACUUGAAAAAGCUAAAAAUAAAUCUUGAAAAAUGAAAUCCAGUAAAUGACUUCCAUAGUGAAUAAAGAAUAUAAAAAUAUUCUUAUAUGGAAGGAAGGGGGGGAGGAUUAAAAGUAAUCCAAAAUCACUAAUGUUACUUCUGAAAAGGUGUCUUUAAUAAUUUUAACUGGCACAAAUAACAAGGAUUAAAAAGAAA